UACAACUCGUGUUCAAUCACCUAGUACAUGCCACUUAAACAAAAAGGAAGAAAUACAUCACCAAAAUUUUCUUGAUGGAGUCGGGAUCUUUCUGGAUACUGAACUGGACCUUGAACUCUAAUGACUUGCGCACGGAAACAACCGUACGCUGAGUCUUUCAUACUCCGUGGUAUUACUAUAAUUUAAAUUAUUUAAGUAAAAUAACAAAUAAACAUGUCAAAUUAUAUAACAAUUAAUUCAUAAAUAAACUAAUUUAUUCUUAACUUUCAUUUCUCAACAAUAACAACUCAAUUUGGC
rnacentral:lncRNA from 1 species